rnacentral:rRNA from 1 species
CCUACGGGUGGCUGCAGUGGGGAAUAUUUGACAAUGGGGGGAACCCUGAUCCAGCGACGCCGCGUGAGGGAAGAAGUAUUUCGGUAUGUAAAGCUCUAUCAGCAGGGAAGAAAGCAAUGACGGUACCUGACUAAGAAGCCCCGGCUAACUACGUGCCAGCAGCCGGGGUAAUACGUAGGGGGCAAGCGUUAUCCGGAUAUACUGGUUGUAAAGGGAGCGGAGGCGGCGAUGCAUGUCUGAGGUGAACGGCGGGGGCCCAACCCCCGGACUGUUUUGGAAACUGUAUGGCUGGAGUGCAGGGGAGGUAAGUGGAAUUCCUAGUGUAGGGGUGAAAUGCGUAGAUAUUAGGAGGAACACCAGUGGCGAAGGCAGCUUACUGGACUGUAACUGACGUUGAGGCUCGAAAGCGUAGGGAGCAAACAGGAUUAGAUACCCCAGUAGUC